rnacentral:rRNA from 1 species
UGGCAUGUAGUAGCUAGCUGUAGAUCACCGGUAGUUUUGCUCUGACCUGUCGGGGUUACGUCCGCGAUGGGUCUACACAAAGAGUUUGGUUGGUUCCUCCGGCGGGCGCCUGGUUCGGGGCUGCUACCCUCGCGGGGCUUGUUCUUUACGACGCUGAGCAUUGAUUCCAAAUGAAUCGGAACUUUCAGCAACGGAUCUCUUGGUUCUGGCAUCGAUGAAUAACGCACCGAAAUGCGAUAAGUAAUGUGAAUUGCAGAAUUCAGUGAAUCAUCGAAUCUUUGAACGCACAUUGCGCCCGCCAGUAUUCUGGCGGGCAUGCCUGUCCGAGCGUCAUUUCAACCCUCGAACCCCUCCGGGGGAUCGGCGUUGGGGAUCGGGACCCCUCACACGGGUGCCGGCCCCUAAAUACAGUGGCGGUCUCGCCGCACCCUCUCCUGCACAGUAGUUUGCACACUCGCACCGGGAACGGCGGCGCGUCCACAUCCGUAAACCCCCCAACUUUUCUGAAAUGGUGGAGCUCGGAUCGGUCAGAAUAACCCGCUGACCUUGAGCCAUAUCAAUAAAGCAGGGAGAUAAAGGCGC